CUAACGGCCAUGCUACCUCGCGGGUCAUUUUCCCUCCCGAAAUUACCGUUUUUUCGGACCAAACGGAGACGCUGCCCGCUGGACCUGUGGACACAGAAACGGAGACGUUUCAGGUAGAUCUACAAAAGAACACAGAGGACACGGAGCCAGGAGACAACCUCUCCGAAGGGUCCAGUCUGAACAGCGCAGAGCGUCUGGAUUUGCAGCAGCUUACAAAGCCAUCGGACAUAUUUCAGGAUUUUACUCGUCAUUGAUACCUCAAAAACUCGUGCCUCAGUAAAGCAGAAAACUCGAUCAAACAACUGUACUGCCUGAUUGUUUACUGUAGUGUUAUGCUGUUUUUUAUGUGCAUCUCCUUAAAUUGUCAUUCAUGC